GGAUAUGGCUCAGUUGGUAGAGCGCACCCUUGGUAAGGGUGAGGUCCCCAGUUCGACUCUGGGUAUCAGCACCA
rnacentral:tRNA from 1 species